rnacentral:tRNA from 6 species
GGACCCUUAGCUCAGUCGGCAGAGCAGACGGCUCAUAACCGUCCGGUCGCAGGUUCGAGCCCUGCAGGGUCCA